GGGGCAGUAGCUCAGUUGGGAGAGCGCAACGUUCGCAACGUUGAGGUCGUCGGUUCGAUCCCGAUCUGCUCCA
rnacentral:tRNA from 1 species